rnacentral:rRNA from 1 species
UCAGUGGCGAACGGGUGAGUAACACGUGAGCAACCUGCCCCUGACUCUGGGAUAAGCGCUGGAAACGGCGUCUAAUACUGGAUAUGUGACGUGACCGCAUGGUUCGGCGUUUGGAAAGAUUUUUCGGUUGGGGAUGAGCUCGCGGCCGAUUCAGCUUGUAGGUGAGGUAAUGGCUCACCAAGGCGUCGAACGGGUAGCCGGCCUGAGGAGGGUGACCGGCCACCACUGGGACUGAGACACGGCCCAGACUCCUACGGGAGGCAGCAGUGGGGAAUAUUGCACAAUGGGCGGAAGCCUGAUGCAGCAACGCCGCGUGAGGGAUGACGGCCUUCGGGUUGUAAACCUCUUUUAGCAGGGAAGAAGCGAAAGUGACGGUACCUGCAGAAAAAGCGCCGGCUAACUACGUGCCAGCAGCCGCGGUAAUACGUAGGGCGCAAGCGUUAUCCGGGAAUUAUUGGGCGUAAAGAGCUCGUAGGCGGUUUGUCGCGUCUGCUGUGAAAUCCCGAGGCUCAACCUCGGGCCUGCAGUGGGUACGGGCAGACUAGAGUGCGGUAGGGGAGAUUGGAAUUCCUGGUGUAGCGGUGGAAUGCGCAGAUAUCAGGAGGAACACCGAUGGCGAAGGCAGAUCUCUGGGCCGUAACUGACGCUGAGGAGCGAAAGGGUGGGGAGCAAACAGGCUUAGAUACCCUGGUAGUCCACCCCGUAAACGUUGGGAACUAGUUGUGGGGUCCAUUCCACGGAUUCCGUGACGCAGCUAACGCAUUAAGUUCCCCGCCUGGGGAGUACGGCCGCAAGGCUAAAACUCAAAGGAAUUGACGGGGACCCGCACAAGCGGCGGAGCAUGCGGAUUAAUUCGAUGCAACGCGAAGAACCUUACCAAGGCUUGACAUAUACGAGAACGGGCCAGAAAUGGUCAACUCUUUGGACACUCGUAAACAGGUGGUGCAUGGUUGUCGUCAGCUCGUGUCGUGAGAUGUUGGGUUAAGUCCCGCAACGAGCGCAACCCUCGUUCUAUGUUGCCAGCACGUAAUGGUGGGAACUCAUGGGAUACUGCCGGGGUCAACUCGGAGGAAGGUGGGGAUGACGUCAAAUCAUCAUGCCCCUUAUGUCUUGGGCUUCACGCAUGCCUACAAUGACCGGUACAAAGGGCUGCAAUACCGUGAAGUGAACCGAAUCCCAAAAAGCCGGUCCCAGCUUCGGAAUUAAGGUUCUGGCAACUCUGACCUCAUGAAGUCGGAGUCGCUAGUAAUCGCAGAUCAGCAACGCUGCGGUGAAUACGUUCCCGGGUCUUGUACACACCGCCCGUCAAGUCAUGAAAGUCGGUAA